rnacentral:misc_RNA from 1 species
AACCUUAUGGACCUGCGGGCGUAUACCUGCGGAGGGAUCAUUACAAGUGACCCCGGUCUAACCACCGGGAUGUUCAUAACCCUUUGUUGUCCGACUCUGUUGCCUCCGGGGCGACCCUGCCUUCGGGCGGGGGCUCCGGGUGGACACUUCAAACUCUUGCGUAACUUUGCAGUCUGAGUAAACUUAAUUAAUGAAUUAAAACUUUUAACAACGGAUCU